AAGGAACAUUAUGGAACUUCACAGCUUUGCAAAUAUCUCCCUGAAGGAACAUUAUGGAACUUCACAGCUGUGGUGGUUCCAGUAGGAAUCUUCCUAUCCAAUGGGCAGGAUGCUGCAGGGGGAGAAGUCAAAGCUUCUUACAGCCUUUGUGCAAAACAAGUUGUAUGUUAAAGAGCAGGACAAAAACAAUUC
rnacentral:lncRNA from 12 species